rnacentral:pre_miRNA from 1 species
CGCAGGAUUUGCUUGUGAAUGGGUGUGCUUGAUUCAAUCACAGGAAAAUUCUGUGCG